GUACUCAUUUCAGCAGCACAUAUACAAUAGGAGUGACACAGAGAGGAUUAGCAUGGCCCCUGCACAAGGAUGUCACACAAAUUCAUGAAGCCUUCCAUAUUCUU
ensembl:snRNA U6 U6 spliceosomal RNA